GGGGGGGGGGGGGGGCGGGCGGGGCAGAGGCAGGUGGAACGGAGAGGCCCUGCUGUUGUGGGGUGCUCGAGUGACGAACGGGUGAGUAACACGUGAGUAACCUGCCCUGGACUUUGGGAUAACUUCAGGAAACUGGGGCUAAUACCGGAUAGGAGCUCCUGCUGCAUGGUGGGGGUUGGAAAGUUUCGGCGGUUGGGGAUGGACUCGCGGCUUAUCAGCUUGUUGGUGGGGUAGUGGCUUACCAAGGCUUUGACGGGUAGCCGGCCUGAGAGGGUGACCGGCCACAUUGGGACUGAGAUACGGCCCAGACUCCUACGGGAGGCAGCAGUGGGGAAUAUUGCACAAUGGGCGGAAGCCUGAUGCAGCAACGCCGCGUGCGGGAUGACGGCCUUCGGGUUGUAAACCGCUUUCGCCUGUGACGAAGCGUGAGUGACGGUAAUGGGUAAAGAAGCACCGGCUAACUACGUG
rnacentral:rRNA from 1 species